rnacentral:rRNA from 1 species
GACGAACGCUGGCGGCGUGCUUAACACAUGCAAGUCGAACGGAAAGGCCCUGCUUUUGUGGGGUGCUCGAGUGGCGAACGGGUGAGUAACACGUGAGUAACCUGCCCUUGACUUUGGGAUAACUUCAGGAAACUGGGGCUAAUACCGGAUAGGAGCUCCUGCUGAAUGGUGGGGGUUGGAAAGUUUCGGCGGUUGGGGAUGGACUCGCGGCGUAUCAGCUUGUUGUUGGGGUGGUGGCUUACCAAGGCUUUGACGGGUAGCCGGCCUGAGAGGGUGACCUGCCACAUUGGGACUGAGAUACGGCCCAGACUCCUACGGGAGGCAGCAGUGGGGUAUAGUGCACAAUGGGCGGAAGCCUGAUGCAGCAACGCCGCGUGCGGGAUGACGGCCUUCGCGUUGUAUACCGCUUUCGCCUGUGACGAAGCGUGAGUGACGGUAAUGGGUAAAGAAGCACCGGCUAACUACGUG